rnacentral:rRNA from 1 species
GAUGAACGCUAGCUACAGGCUUAACACAUGCAAGUCGAGGGGGCAGCAUGAAGUUUGCUUGCAAACUUUGAUGGCGACCGGCGGAUGGGUGAGUAACGCGUACCCAACCUGCUCCCUUCCCGGGCACAGCCCUUGGAAACGAGGAUUAACGCCCGAUGGCGUCUGGAUGCCGCAUGGCAUUCCGACCAAAUGCGAAGGAAGGGGAUGGGGGUGCGUCCCAUUAGCUAGUUGGCGGGGUAACGGCCCACCAAGGCAUCGAUGGGUAGGGGUUCUGAGAGGAAGGUCCCCCACACUGGAACUGAGACACGGCCCAGACUCCUACGGGAGGCAGCAGUGGGGAAUAUUGGGCAAUGGACGCAAGUCUGACCCAGCAACGCCGCGUGAAGGAAGAAGGCUUUCGGGUUGUAAACUUCUUUUAAGAGGGAAGAGUAGAAGACGGUACCUCUUGAAUAAGCCACGGCUAACUACGUG